GGGGGGGGGGGGGGGGGGGGGGGGGGGGGGGGGGGCGGGGGGGGGGGGCGGGGCGGGGGGCGCGCGGGGGGGGAGCGCGGGGGGCCCUGCGCGUAGGGUCGGGCUAACUCCCCGACCGGGGUGCUCAUACCGGAUAACGUCUUCGGAACAAAGAGUUAGCGCCUGUGGAUGGGCCCGCGGUGGAUUAGUUAGUUGGUAGGGUAAAAGCCUACCAAGGCGACGAUCCAUAGCUGGUCUGAGAGGAUGAUCAGCCACACUGGGACUGAGACACGGCCCAGACUCCUACGGGAGGCAGCAGUGGGGAAUAUUGGACAAUGGGCGAAAGCCUGAUCCAGCAAUGCCGCGUGAGUGAUGAAGGCCUUAGGGUUGUAAAGCUCUUUUACCCGGGAUGAUAAUGACAGUACCGGGAGAAUAAGCUCCGGCUAACUCCGUG
rnacentral:rRNA from 1 species